rnacentral:rRNA from 1 species
AGUGAACGCUGGCGGUAGGCCUAACACAUGCAAGUCGAACGGCAGCACAGUAAGAGCUUGCUCUUACGGGUGGCGAGUGGCGGACGGGUGAGGAAUACAUCGGAAUCUACUUUUUCGUGGGGGAUAACGUAGGGAAACUUACGCUAAUACCGCAUACGACCUACGGGUGAAAGCAGGGGAUCUUCGGACCUUGCGCGAUUGAAUGAGCCGAUGUCGGAUUAGCUAGUUGGCGGGGUAAAGGCCCACCAAGGCGACGAUCCGUAGCUGGUCUGAGAGGAUGAUCAGCCACACUGGAACUGGGACACGGUCCAGACUCCUACGGGAGGCAGCAGUGGGGAAUAUUGGACAAUGGGGGCGAGCCUGAUCCAGCCAUACCGCGUGGGUGAAGAAGGCCUUCGGGUUGUAAAGCCCUUUUGUUGGGAAAGAAAAGCAGCAGGUUAAUACCCCGCUGUUCUGACGGUACCCAAAGAAUAAGCACCGGCUAACUUCGUG